UGUGCAAAUUGUUAAAAAAUAAUCUCACAUUGCCUAUGAACAAGAUCUUGGGCAUGUAUAUAAGAAAUGAGCAAUCAUCUCUUGUAAAACCAAUUUUAUGAGAUGAGUUAGGCCCGUUAAUUUCUUCU